CUCAGGACGAACGCUGGCGGCGUGCCUAAUACAUGCAAGUCGAGCGGACAGAUGGGAGCUUGCUCCCUGAUGUUAGCGGCGGACGGGUGAGUAACACGUGGGUAACCUGCCUGUAAGACUGGGAUAACUCCGGGAAACCGGGGCUAAUACCGGAUGCUUGUUUGAACCGCAUGGUUCAAACAUAAAAGGUGGCUUCGGCUACCACUUACAGAUGGACCCGCGGCGCAUUAGCUAGUUGGUGAGGUAAUGGCUCACCAAGGCGACGAUGCGUAGCCGACCUGAGAGGGUGAUCGGCCACACUGGGACUGAGACACGGCCCAGACUCCUACGGGAGGCAGCAGUAGGGAAUCUUCCGCAAUGGACGAAAGUCUGACGGAGCAACGCCGCGUGAGUGAUGAAGGUUUUCGGAUCGUAAAGCUCUGUUGUUAGGGAAGAACAAGUACCGUUCGAAUAGGGCGGUACCUUGACGGUACCUAACCAGAAAGCCACGGCUAACUACGUGCCAGCAGCCGCGGUAAUACGUAGGUGGCAAGCGUUGUCCGGAAUUAUUGGGCGUAAAGGGCUCGCAGGCGGUUUCUUAAGUCUGAUGUGAAAGCCCCCGGCUCAACCGGGGAGGGUCAUUGGAAACUGGGGAACUUGAGUGCAGAAGAGGAGAGUGGAAUUCCACGUGUAGCGGUGAAAUGCGUAGAGAUGUGGAGGAACACCAGUGGCGAAGGCGACUCUCUGGUCUGUAACUGACGCUGAGGAGCGAAAGCGUGGGGAGCGAACAGGAUUAGAUACCCUGGUAGUCCACGCCGUAAACGAUGAGUGCUAAGUGUUAGGGGGUUUCCGCCCCUUAGUGCUGCAGCUAACGCAUUAAGCACUCCGCCUGGGGAGUACGGUCGCAAGACUGAAACUCAAAGGAAUUGACGGGGGCCCGCACAAGCGGUGGAGCAUGUGGUUUAAUUCGAAGCAACGCGAAGAACCUUACCAGGUCUUGACAUCCUCUGACAAUCCUAGAGAUAGGACGUCCCCUUCGGGGGCAGAGUGACAGGUGGUGCAUGGUUGUCGUCAGCUCGUGUCGUGAGAUGUUGGGUUAAGUCCCGCAACGAGCGCAACCCUUGAUCUUAGUUGCCAGCAUUCAGUUGGGCACUCUAAGGUGACUGCCGGUGACAAACCGGAGGAAGGUGGGGAUGACGUCAAAUCAUCAUGCCCCUUAUGACCUGGGCUACACACGUGCUACAAUGGACAGAACAAAGGGCAGCGAAACCGCGAGGUUAAGCCAAUCCCACAAAUCUGUUCUCAGUUCGGAUCGCAGUCUGCAACUCGACUGCGUGAAGCUGGAAUCGCUAGUAAUCGCGGAUCAGCAUGCCGCGGGUGAAUACGUUCCCGGGCCUUGUACACACCGCCCGUCACACCACGAGAGUUUGUAACACCCGAAGUCGGUGAGGUAACCUUUUAGGAGCCAGCCGCCGANGUGGGACAGAUGAUUGGGGUGA
rnacentral:rRNA from 1 species